rnacentral:rRNA from 1 species
AUUGAACGCUGGCGGCAGGCCUAACACAUGCAAGUCGAACGAGUGGCGGACGGGUGAGUAAUGUAUGGGAAACUGCGUGAUGGAGGGGGAUAACUACUGGAAACGGUAGCUAAUCCCGCAUAACAUCAGAUGUGCCUCGAUGGGAUUAGCUAGUUGGUGGGGUAGAGGCUCACCAAGGCGACGAUCCCUAGCUGGUCUGAGAGGAUGACCAGCCACACUGUAACUGAGACACGGCCCAGACUCCUACGGGAGGCAGCAGUGGGGAAUAUUGCACAAUGGGCGCAAGCCUGAUGCAGCCAUGCCGCGUGUAUGAAGAAGGCCUUCGGGUUGUAAAGUACUUUCAGCGGGGAGGCGUUACCCGCAGAAGAAGCACCGGCUAACUCCGUGCCAGCAGCCGCGGUAAUUC